rnacentral:rRNA from 1 species
GAUGAUCCCAGCUUGCUGGGGGAUUAGUGGCGAACGGGUGAGUAACACGUGAGUAACCUGCCCUUAACUCUGGGAUAAGCCUGGGAAACUGGGUCUAAUACCGGAUAUGACUCCUCAUCGCAUGGUGGGGGGUGGAAAGCUUUAUUGUGGUUUUGGAUGGACUCGCGGCCUAUCAGCUUGUUGGUGAGGUAAUGGCUCACCAAGGCGACGACGGGUAGCCGGCCUGAGAGGGUGACCGGCCACACUGGGACUGAGACGCGGCCCAGACUCCUACGGGAGGCAGCAGUGGGGAAUAUUGCACAAUGGGCGAAAGCCUGAUGCAGCGACGCCGCGUGAGGGAUGACGGCCUUCAGGUUGUAAACCUCUUUCAGUAGGGAAGAAGCGAAAGUGACGGUACCUGCAGAAGAAGCGCCGGCUAACUACGUGCCAGCAGCCGCGGUAAUACGUAGGGCGCAAGCGUUAUCCGGAAUUAUUGGGCGUAAAGAGCUCGUAGGCGGUUUGUCGCGUCUGCCGUGAAAGUCCGGGGCUCAACUCCGGAUCUGCGGUGGGUACGGGCAGACUAGAGUGAUGUAGGGGAGACUGGAAUUCCUGGUGUAGCGGUGAAAUGCGCAGAUAUCAGGAGGAACACCGAUGGCGAAGGCAGGUCUCUGGGCAUUAACUGACGCUGAGGAGCGAAAGCAUGGGGAGCGAACAGGAUUAGAUACCCUGGUAGUCCAUGCCGUAAACGUUGGGCACUAGGUGUGGGGGACAUUCCACGUUUUCCGCGCCGUAGCUAACGCAUU